AUAAUCAUACCAAGAGGAAUGAAUACAACCCUUUAACGGUGGCGGUAUGGGCGCCUCCUCGCUGCAUCCACCUGUCUUUUACUGUGCGAAUAGAGAAGAAAAAAAAGGUGUUACCUGAGUCGUCCCCUCCACCCCGAUGCCCCCCAUCUCUCUCACUUCUCUCUCUCCCGUUCCCUUUUUUCGCCGCCGCCUUCGUCGGCCGGUUCCGGCGAACGCUGGCGGUCUCCGCCGUCGUGGUGGCUACCAAUCUCUUCCUCUCCUCGCGCUCUAUAUGAUCCACCGCAUCGAUUCAUCGAUCCCAUCCUCAUGUGGUUGCCCGCAUCGGAUUUACCCGUCUAGGGUUUCGGUGCGGUCGACUUCCUCAUCGCCGGCGAUGCUCCGGCGCCUUGGUCCGGUCGUCUUUGUCUUCUGCCGUGCUCUCUCGUGCUGCUCUGCUUCCUAACGGCGCUCCCGUGCCUCAGAUGCACGCCAGGGCGGCACGGUGAGCAGGUGGGAGGAGAAGGCGGCGGCGAUUUCGAUCUAUUAUUCUGCGUUGACACGGGAGGCGGUAGAGCGGUCUGGACGAGAUUCCUGGUGCCGGUUUCCUCACCAUGCUGAGGCCACCUGCAUCGAGCAAUGGUUGAUGCCAAGGCUUUAAGGACCUGUUCGGGUUCUCUCCGCUCCACAACUACGGCUCCCGGAGCGGAGGGAGGGGCAGCACAAAUCAGGGAGUGGCUCAAACUGAGGUCCUCGUCUCCUCUACAGCUCGGAGCGGAGUUUUGAGAUUGGAGAGGUUGCGAACAGGCUCUAAGAAUGGACUGCAUCUCUGACCCAAGCAGCGUGAAGCUCCUGAGUCGCAUAUAGCAGAUCUCAAGAGAGAUAAUGAGCGUUUAAGAAGGUUGCACACGGAAACCUUAUUCAAAUUCACCAACCAGGAGCAUAAAGGGACAUCAAAUAACUUAAGCAUGACUAUGAAAUGAACUGAAACUCCCUGGAGAGCAAGCUCCGCUGCACUCUUGUCCAGCAAGGCACCGAUGAAGGAUUCUGUUUUUGGGAGACCUGAUUAUGGGGCCAACACGGUCAUGCAAAUUUUUUUGGCAGCAGAAGGUAAUCUAAUAUCAGGAAGGGGCAUCUCACAAUACUGCAGCUAUUAAAAAGAAUCCAAAACAGAGGCGUCUAGGAGAACGAGCUUUGUUGCUGUUCAUCUCCCAGGAUGGUUAUUGCCAAUUACCAGAUAAUAUUCAUUGCCUGCCAUUAGCUUUGUUUUUGGUAUUUUCUGCAGAACCAUGUCAAGCACAAUAAACUGAGGUCCUUUCAUACUACAUGCCUUCUAUUUCAUUUCUGCAUAUUUGAGAGAGGUGGGCGACUCUCCCUGAGCUGCAUGCUAUAUGGCUGGAAGCCAGAGCUCGGGCCCGACGCCUCCGCUCGCCGUUUCCCACGCCUCCGGCGCCCCUGGUGAUUUCCGUGUGGAUCAGGUCUUCAGGGUGCCAAUAUUUUCGGACGUAGUUGGGCCAGCAAGCUCAGAUCUGAAGGAGAGAAUUGACAUGGGUAGCCGACGAGAGGGCAAGAUUCGUACGUGGCGGUGAAUUUAGAUGGCGGCGGCACCAGUGCGGACGAUGCCAAUAGCAAGGACAGCGAGCCGGCGUAGUCCGAAUAGUGUGGAGUGAAUUGAAGCCGGAUCCGCAAGCAUCCGAGUGGAUUAAAGCGGGGGGUGGAGGUGAUGCGAUCUACUCGGGAAUAAGUGAAUGAUAUCAUUAUGAUGCCAAAUUAGUCCGCAAAUACUGCUGCUUCUAGAAUCUGAAUGUACCCGCUAUGCAUGUUGCAGGCAAUGAACUAUUUUACAAGAUAAAAUAUCAGGAAGGGGCAUCUCAUAAUACUGCAGCUAUUAAAAAGAAUCCAAAUGAGCCCGCGGUAAGGAUUUGGUUUACAGUGGUUAUACUUUAUAUAUCAUCUCAAGGCAACUUUAGCUCAUUGGUUAAAUUUGAUUCUCCGUUCAAUUGGUUAAAUUUGGUUCUCCCUUCAAGUUAGAUGAGCCUCUCAUUAAUAUAAAUUCAGUCGUAGAACAUUAUCAUUUAUAAGUUUUCUUUUUUGUUAUACAUUGUUAACUGUAAGAUAUCCUGAUUACUGUACUGUUUUACUUUGAUGAGUCACCAUCGUCAUCCAGAGACAGGUCGGCAAGGGAGGCUAUGAGGAAUUGGGUACAUCCAAACUUCCCCUGUGAUAUCUUUAUUUUAUUCCUCAGUUUAAGGUCUCUGUUAGUGGAAUAUAUUUUCUUGCAAACUGAAUUGGUUUUCUGGAACAUGUCUUCGUAUUUUUGUGUAUGUCUUGAGCACUAUUCAUUGGAUAUACUUUGUUGCUUCCAGCACAUGGAUAAGAAUAUUUCAGUCGCUGAAGAGAUUGUUGAACAUAUGACACUGAUGCAAAUCUCUGGCCACCUACAAGUGAAACUGCUUGAAGACCAAGUUCGAAUAUGUAUGAGCGCAGUGAAGUUCGGCAUGCAAGUCUAUUCGCAGUCUCGCACCCUAAUGUAAUCAGUCGAGUAGUGACGGAAAGGCGCCGCCGACCAGGAUGUGGAGGAAGAUGGGGUUGAGCCGGGUUGGUGAAGGUGUUGUGGCUGGUCGUUGGCCAAGCAGCCGCCUCUCCCUCGUCUUUGACAUCGUGAAGAAUGAUGUUGAAAUGGAUGCGUGCUGCAGGAGCAGCAGAGGCGUCGUGUGAGCCUUGGGUUCUUCAUCAAUUCGUUCGUGCGUUCCCUUGGUCGCAUGCGCGCCUCAGGAUCAGCUCGGAGUUGAAUACUUAACUGGUUCAGGAAAGCUUCAAAUACAAUAGUGGCAAACAUCUCCAUUGAUGCUACAAAGCAUCUCGAUGAUUUUGAAGCGAGUCUUCAUGUUAAUUACAUUACUUUUUGUAUCAUGCCCUAUUGAUCGAAAAGUUACUUAGCCCUAAUCAUCCAUGCUUAAUAAUGAGGAUCGUUUUGGGAUUUUGUUUAGCUUUCCAACACUUCCAUAGUUUAUUAGUACAGAGCUAGAUCUCUCACUGUGCUGAUCACACGUAAUGAAGUCAUUUUACUUGGCUUUCUAGCAACGGGUCAGCAAGUGGGUCAUGAUGAACCAAAUUAUGUUCUCUCUCUUGCAUAUAGAUGCUCACGAUUAUACUGAUCUGAUCAAUUGUAGGUUCCAUAGGAACACUGAAGUUGAUUUUGUUGCCUCCUCGUAGCAGGGCCAGGGAAGCAGUGUCAAGUGGAUCCUGGAAGAGCACUGGUGUGGGAUCCGCUGCUGCCAGGUAUGCUUUUCUUCCUUCCCGUCCUCUCGAUCCACUUCCUCUCUUUGUUUCUGAAUUUUGCACUCAAAUUGUGAGGUGAGGCUCAAAAGAUACAGUGGUUACCGACGGCGGCGACGACCACGAAGAUUGUCCCAGCAUCUGGAACAGUGGAUGCAUUGAGCUCGAGAUGACGAUUAGCCACUCCAUCCACGAUCACUGUUUUCCCCCUUCUUUUUGUGGAGAUGAUUUCACUAUUUAUCAAUGCUGUAAUAACCAAGGUGCAUGUGUGACUCGUUCAAUCAAGUGUGUAAUGAACCCUGCUUAAUAUGCC